rnacentral:rRNA from 1 species
AACGAACGCUGGCGGCAUGCCUAACACAUGCAAGUCGAACGAGAUCUUCGGGUCUAGUGGCGCACGGGUGCGUAACGCGUGGGAAUCUGCCCUUUGGUUCGGAAUAACAGUUGGAAACGACUGCUAAUACCGGAUGAUGAUGAAAGUCCAAAGAUUUAUCGCCAGAGGAGGUGCCCGCUUAGGUUGAGCUAGUUGGUGUGGUAAAGGCGCACCAAUGCGACGCUCCUUAGCUGGUCUGAGAGGAUGAUCAGCCACACUGGGACUGAGAAACAGCCCAGACUCCUACGGGAGGCAGCAGUGGGGAAUAUUGAACAAUGGGCGAAAGCCUGAUCCAGCAAUGCCGCGUGAGUGAUGAAGGCCUUAGGGUUGUAAAGCUCUUUUACCCGGGAUGAUAAUGACAGUACCGGGAGAAUAAGCUCCGGCUAACUCCGUGCCAGCCGCCGCAGUAA